rnacentral:rRNA from 1 species
AUUGAACGCUGGCGGCAGGCCUAACACAUGCAAGUCGAGCGGUAGCACAGAGAGCUUGCUCUCGGGUGACGAGCGGCGGACGGGUAAGUAAUGUCUGGGAAACUGCCUGAUGGAGGGGGAUAACUACUGGAAACGGUAGCUAAUACCGCAUAACGUCGCAAGACCAAAGUGGGGGACCUUCGGGCCUCAUGCCAUCAGAUGUGCCCAGAUGGGAUUAGCUAGUAGGUGGGGUAACGGCUCACCUAGGCGACGAUCCCUAGCUGGUCUGAGAGGAUGACCAGCCACACUGGAACUGAGACACGGUCCAGACUCCUACGGGAGGCAGCAGUGGGGAAUAUUGCACAAUGGGCGCAAGCCUGAUGCAGCCAUGCCGCGUGUGUGAAGAAGGCCUUCGGGUUGUAAAGCACUUUCAGCGGGGAGGAAGGCGUUAAGGUUAAUAACCUUGGCGAUUGACGUUACCCGCAGAAGAAGCACCGGCUAACUCCGUGCCAGCAGCCGCCGUAA